rnacentral:rRNA from 1 species
CCUACGGGUGGCAGCAGUGGGGGAUAUUGCACAAUGGGGGGAACCCUGAUGCAGCGACGCCGCGUGGGUGAAGGAGUGCUUCGGCAUGUAAAGCCCCAUCGGUAGGGAAGAAGCAAGACGGUACCUGACUAAGAAGCCCCGGCUAACUACGUGCCAGCAGCCGCGGUAAUACGUAGGGGGCGAGCGUUAUCCGGAUGUACUGGGUGUAAAGGGAGAGUAGACGGCAGCGCAAGUCUGGAGUGAAAUCCCAUGGCUUAACCAUGGAACUGCUUUGGAAACUGUGCAGCUGGAGUGCAGGAGAGGUAAGCGGAAUUCCUGGUGUAGCGGUGAAAUGCGUAGAUAUAUGGAAGAACACCAGUGGCGAAGGCGGCCGCCUGGCCUGUUGCUGACGCUGAGGCACGAAAGCGUGGGGAGCAAAUAGGAUUAGAUACCCCUGUAGUC